ensembl:lncRNA
CUCAGUCAUAUUAAAGUAGGUGUGGCCUCUAUUCCUCAGUCACAUUAAAGUAGGUGUGGCCUCUAUUCCUCAGUCACAUUAAAGUAGGUGUGGCCUCUAUUCCUCAGUCAUAUUAAAGUAGGUGUGGCCUCUAUUCCUCAGUCAUAUUAAAGUAGGUGUGGCCUCUAUUCCUCAGUCAUAUUAAAGUAGGUGUGGUCUCUGUGCUCAGUCACAGUGAAAAAAACAUGACCUCUGUUCUCUGUUCAUCAUAAGAGAUGCCGAGACAAUACAGACAGUGAAGGAGGCGUGGCCUCUGUUCCUUAGUCACAGUGAAGGAUGUAUGGCCUCUAUUCCACAGUCACAUUAAAGAAGGUGUGGUGUCUCUUCUCAGUUACAGUAAUAAAGGCAACACAUUUCAUUAGUUAUAAUGAAAGAGGUCUGAUCUGUGUGUCUAGGUCAUAGUGAAGGAGGCAUGUCCUGUUCCACAGUCAUAGUGAA